GUGGGGAAUAUUGGACAAUGGGCGAAAGCCUGAUCCAGCCAUGCCGCGUGUGUGAAGAAGGUCUUCGGAUUGUAAAGCACUUUAAGUUGGGAGGAAGGGCAGUAAGUUAAUACCUUGCUGUUUUGACGUUACCGACAGAAUAAGCACCGGCUAACUUCGUGCCAGCAGCCGCGGUAAUACGAAGGGUGCAAGCGUUAAUCGGAAUUACUGGGCGUAAAGCGCGCGUAGGUGGUUUUGUAAGUUGGAGGUGAAAUCCCCGGGCUCAACCUGGGAACUGCCUCCAAAACUGCAUGACUAGAGUACGGUAGAGGGUAGUGGAAUUUCCUGUGUAGCGGUGAAAUGCGUAGAUAUAGGAAGGAACACCAGUGGCGAAGGCGACUACCUGGACUGAUACUGACACUGAGGUGCGAAAGCGUGGGGAGCAAACAGGAUUAGAAACCCCCAGUAGUCC
rnacentral:rRNA from 1 species